rnacentral:misc_RNA from 1 species
UUUCCGUAGGUGAACCUGCGGAAGGAUCAUUACAGUGUUCAUGCCCUCACGGGUAGAUCUCCCACCCUUGAAUAUUUAUACCUUAGUUGCUUUGGCAGGCCGUGGAAACACCAUGGGCUCCGGCUUAUGCGUGCCUGCCAGAGGAAACAAACUCUGUUUUUAGUGAUGUCUGAGUACUAUAUAAUAGUUAAAACUUUCAACAACGGAUCUCUUGGUUCUG